rnacentral:rRNA from 1 species
UCAUUGUGGAUACAAAUAAGAUAAAUAUUUUGAGGCCUCUAGAUUUGGUGGAUAGAGAGACCAAAAAGGAGGAGAGCAUUUUCGGACGGUAGGCAGGGAACCAUGUGGCAG